rnacentral:rRNA from 1 species
GACGAACGCUGGCGGCGUGCUUAACACAUGCAAGUCGAACGGACAGGCGCUGCUUUUGUUCGUUUCUCGAUUGGCGCACGGGUGUGUGAAACGUGUGUAUCCUCCCCUUGACUUUGUGAUAACUUCAGGAAACUGGGGCUCAUACCGCAUAGGAGCUCCUGCUGCAUGGUGUGGGUUGGAAAGUUUCGGCGGUUGGGGAUGGACUAGCGGCUUAUCCGCUUGUUGGUCGGGUAGUGGCUUACCAAGCGUUUGACGGGUAGCCGGCAUGAGAGGGUGAACGGGGACAUUGGGACUGAGAGACGGACCAGACUGGUACGGGAGGCAGCAGUGGGGAAUAUUGCGCAAUGGGCGGAAGCCUGAUGCAGAAGCGCCGGGUGCGGGAUGACGGCCUUCGGGUGGUAAACAGCUUUGGACGGAGACGAAGCGUGAGUGACGGUAAUGGGUAAAGAAGCACCGGCUAACUACGUG